UGGGGAAUAUUGCACAAUGGGCGAAAGCCUGAUGCAGCAACGCCGCGUGAGCGAAGAAGGUCUUCGGAUCGUAAAGCUCUGUCCUUGGGGAAGAUAAUGACGGUACCCUUGGAGGAAGCCCCGGCUAACUACGUGCCAGCAGCCGCGGUAAUACGUAGGGAGCAAGCGUUAUCCGGAAUUACUGGGUGUAAAGGGAGUGUAGGCGGGACUGUAAGUCAGAUGUGAAAUAUGCCGGCUCAACUGGCAGACUGCAUUUGAAACUGUGGUUCUUGAGUGAAGUAGAGGUAAGCGGAAUUCCUGGUGUAGCGGUGAAAUGCGUAGAUAUCAGGAGGAACAUCAGUGGCGAAGGCGGCUUACUGGGCUUUAACUGACGCUGAGGCUCGAAAGCGUGGGGAGCAAACAGGAUUAGAUACCCUGGUAGU
rnacentral:rRNA from 1 species